UUUUGUAACGGAAUGAAGAUAGAUCCUAUCCGAAGUUUAUUACCUUUUCAGUUUAAUAAGAAGAUCAGAGUCUGUGUAUGCAGAAUUUGGAGACCUAAGGUUAUAGGAAAGGAUAAUACGUUUGGCGGUCUUCAAUGUAUAUUCAUUGACGAAAUGGAGAUCGGAUUUUUCGAAUUUGUGACUUUUCUUUGAAGCCUGCGAAGACCUCUGUGUUUGAGGUGGGUGCUUUUGGCAUUCCACAGGUUUGAUUCAACUUGCAGCUUGAGGUUUUCAUUUGAAGGGAAAGUAUUGCAUUCUUAUGAAUUCUACGUCGCUACUCAGGAACUAGCUGAAACCUUAAACCUUAACAUAAUGAAGAUGAAGAUGAGCUGGAAACAAUGAAGUAGGAAAAUCUAGAUUCAGUAACAUGUUCAUAGUCUAUCUAAAUAUUUUGAAUAAUGAGCAGUUUAAUGCUGUUAAUCUUUUGAUCGUGGUAAUAUGUUACUAAUUUACUUUCUCAACAACAGAUAUGUAAAUAUUGAUAUAUAAAACUUAUUUUAUGUUAAAUAGUAUUUUCUUAAA